UUUAUUUGAUGGUUGCUUGCUACAUGGAUAACCGUGGUAAUUCUAGAGCUAAUACAUGCACAGAGUCCCGACUUCCGGGAGGGACGUAUUUAUUAGAUCCAAAACCAGCGCGGGUGUCCCCUCGUGGGUGCCCGGUCCCUGGGCGAUUCAUGAUAACUGCUCGAAUCGCACGGCCCUGGCGCCGGCGAUGGUCCAUUCAAAUUUCUGCCCUAUCAACUUUCGAUGGUACGGUAGUGGCCUACCAUGGUUGCAACGGGUGACGGARAAUUAGGGUUCGAUUCCGGAGAGGGAGCCUGAGAAACGGCUACCACAUCCAAGGAAGGCAGCAGGCGCGCAAAUUACCCAAUCCCGACUCGGGGAGGUAGUGACAAUAAAUAACAAUGCCGGGCUCUCGCAGUCUGGCAAUUGGAAUGAGUCCAAUCUAAACCCCUUAACGAGGAACAAUUGGAGGGCAAGUCUGGUGCCAGCAGCCGCGGUAAUUCCAGCUCCAAUAGCGUAUAUUAAAGUUGUUGCAGUUAAAAAGCUCGUAGUUGGAUUUCGGGGCGGCCCGGCCGGUCCGCCGCGAGGCGAGCACUGGUCGGGCGCCCUUCCUCUCGAAGGCUUCGACUGCUCUUGAUUGCGGUGGUCGAGGAGUUCGGGACGUUUACUUUGAAAAAAUUAGAGUGUUCAAGGCAGGCCGUCGCCUGAAUACAUUAGCAUGGAAUAAUGGAAGAGGACCUCGGUCCUAUUUUGUUGGUUUCCAGGGCCGAAGUAAUGAUUAAGAGGGACAGUUGGGGGCAUUCGUAUUCAAUUGUCAGAGGUGAAAUUCUCGGAUUUAUGGAAGACGAACAAGUGCGAAAGCAUUUGCCAAGGAUGUUUUCAUUAAUCAAGAACGAAAGUUGGGGGUUCGAAGACGAUCAGAUACCGUCGUAGUCCCAACCAUAAACUAUGCCGACUAGGGAUCGGCGGAUGUUAGCGUCUGACUCCGUCGGCACCUUGCGAGAAAUCAAGAGUCUUUGGGUUCCGGGGGGAGUAUGGUCGCAAGGCUGAAACUUAAAGGAAUUGACGGAAGGGCACCACCAGGAGUGGAGCCUGCGGCUUAAUUUGACUCAACACGGGGAAACUCACCAGGUCCGGACAUGGUAAGGAUUGACAGAUCGAGAGCUCUUUCUUGAUUCUAUGGGUGGUGGUGCAUGGCCGUU
rnacentral:rRNA from 1 species